UUUGGGGUACAGGUACACACGAGAGCGGACCGGCAGAUGAUCGCGGCAAGGGCUUAGCGCCCGAGUGCUUAUUGGUAGAUGCUUUCCUAUUGCAUUAGUUGUUACCCUAUAUACUUGAGAGUAGAUAAUGUAUAGGUGUGAGGCUAUUUUGGAAAUGUAAACUUUAAGUUUAUGCUUUGGAUGAAUGUAUAGUUAAGUUGAAAUCAAAUGUAUCAAAGUUGAAUGGAUGUAAUAGCUUAGUAUCUCUCUUUUGUUUCACUUGUAUGUUUACUACUCGUGACGCUUGCUCUUGUAAUGUUCAGCACUGUUUGUGCUCUCGCUGUUGUUGCAUGAUCAUGUAUGUAUUCAAGUUGAUUUCCUGGGGACUUGUUGUACAUGAUCUCGUUGUUUAGCCUUGGGCGGACAGGGGAGACUCUGUCCGUUCGGCGUCCGUUCGCCGCGCCCGAACCGUGCCAAAUCGGUAGCGGCCUCGGGGCGGGGGCGUGACAUCGGAGG
rnacentral:lncRNA from 1 species